UCUUGUAGUAAUGGCGAAUGAACAAGGAAAAGCUCAGCAUGAAAAUUGGGGCAUGUGGUCUUGAAUUGUGUUUGACAGAUGUACUGCCAAUGGAAGCACAGAUGUAAGCCAUUUGGAAAAAUGCAUUACUGAUGGUGAGAGUCCUGUGUGUCAUUUGUAGUUUUCCGUGCACGGUGUGCUUUCUAAGAUUCACGUUCCUUGGGAUUGGAACGCAAAGUGGGUGGUAGAUUUCAUUCAAAGCUGAACAGUGGAUUGAGACCGAUAGUAAACAAGUACCAUGAGGGAAAAGUUAAAAGGACUUUGAAAAGAAAGUUAAAAAGUGUCUGAAAUUGCUGAAAGGGAAGCAGAUGUAACCAAAUUAAACUUUGCAAGAUUGUCAUGUACAAAUGUGAGCUCUUGUUGCAUCAGUGUAAGUGUGGCAGCUUGCCUAAAUCNGAUUGUGCAUGGUGAUUCUUGCAUUGUGUGUCAACAUCAUUUUGCAACCCAGGAACACAUGGAAGACAUGAAAAUUUGCUCGCGGGUGAAUAAAUGUUUUUUCUAGACAUCAAUUGUGGAUUGUCAUAUUGCGUGGAUGGUUGGCUGGUUGUACGUGUGCAUUCAACAAACAUUAUGUAUGAUUGCUUGACUCAAUUGACCUUGGUUUGACACAACUACAUCGACAAACUGGUUUCAUUUGACCCGUCUUGAAACACGGACCAAGGAGUCUAACACAUGUGCAAAUCAUUGGGUGGACAAUCCUGUUUGUGCAAUAAAAGUGAUUGCUGUUAUAUUUGCAACAGCAACUAACCAAUUGAUUGUGAGAGGUUUGAGUAUCAGCAUAUAUGUUAAGACCCGAAAGAUGGUGAACUAUGCCUGAGAAGGGUAAAUUCAGGGGAAACUCUGAUGGAAGCUCGUAGCGAUACUGACGUGCAAAUCGUUCGUCAUA
rnacentral:rRNA from 1 species